CCCACGAACCCACGCCCCCAGUCUGCCUCGCCUCCUCUCACCCAUGGCCGGCGCCACCACGCUCGUCCUCUCCCUCAUGGCCGCCGGCGCCGUUUCUCUUCGCGCCCAGCUUCUCACCUGGACGGCCCCCGACCCCGCGGCCGCCCCCGCCGUCCGGGCCGCCGUCUGGACGUCACUGUCGGACGCCGUCAUGGGCGACGGCGCCGACCAGCCACCCCGCCGCUGGAUCCUCCUUCCCCGGCCGGCCAUGGCGACCACCACGCGUACAAGUAGAAAAACCCUCAUGGUCCAAUGAGAUCCAGCGAGACAGGUUCGUCCCCAUCUAGCCCGGUCAGCUCUCGUACCCUGCAUCAACCAGAUCCCGUGGGCGUCGGGGUGACCUGCUCCGGCGAGGUUCCUCGAUCCCGCCCGCCACAAGCCCGUCCACGGGCAGCCGUGCUCGCCGUUGGUGGCUACGUGCAGCACGGGCACCACGGCGGGGCACCGCGCACCGUUGUCGCCGGAUCUGGCGACUCCAAGCCUGACCGCCAUUGGAUCUGAUCAUCGGCCUCCUGCAUCUUCAGUUUCAGAUAUUUGAUUGUUUGUGCAGAGGGCAUGUGUUACACUUUUCUGAAAGAGAACCAAGAGUGAAUCAAUUUCAGAAAUCAAGUUACAUCUAUGUACCUGUGUGUGUAGCUGAGUUGUGCAAGAUAUGUGAAAUUUAUAUUUCAAUCUGUAACUUGUUAUUUGAGUGAAAUAUGUAUUGAAAUAGUUGUUUCAAUAUAAAUUGAAAUUCUUUGUGCCA